AACCGGAUUAGAUACCCUGGUAGUCCACGCCCUAAACGAUGUCAACUAGUUGUUGGGGAUUCAUUUCCUUAGUAACGUAGCUAACGCGUGAAGUUGACCGCCUGGGGAGUACGGUCGCAAGAUUAAAACUCAAAGGAAUUGACGGGGACCCGCACAAGCGGUGGAUGAUGUGGAUUAAUUCGAUGCAACGCGAAAAACCUUACCUACCCUUGACAUGGUCGGAAUCCUGCUGAGAGGUGGGAGUGCUCGAAAGAGAACCGAUACACAGGUGCUGCAUGGCUGUCGUCAGCUCGUGUCGUGAGAUGUUGGGUUAAGUCCCGCAACGAGCGCAACCCUUGUCCUUAGUUGCUACGCAAGAGCACUCUAGGGAGACUGCCGGUGACAAACCGGAGGAAGGUGGGGAUGACGUCAAGUCCUCAUGGCCCUUAUGGGUAGGGCUUCACACGUCAUACAAUGGUCGGAACAGAGGGUUGCCAACCCGCGAGGGGGAGCUAAUCCCAGAAAACCGAUCGUAGUCCGGAUUGCACUCUGCAACUCGAGUGCAUGAAGCUGGAAUCGCUAG
rnacentral:rRNA from 1 species